rnacentral:rRNA from 1 species
CCUACGGGAGGCAGCAGUGAGGAAUAUUGGUCAAUGGGCUUACGCCUGAACCAGCCAAGUCGCGUGAGGGAAGACUGCCCUAUGGGUUGUAAACCUCUUUUGUCAGGGAGCAACGCCGGCUACGUGUAGCCGGACUGAGAGUACCUGAAGAAAAAGCAUCGGCUAACUCCGUGCCAGCAGCCGCGGUAAUACGGAGGAUCCGAGCGUUAUCCGGAUUUAGUGGGUGUAAAGGGAGCGUAGAUGGGUUGUUAAGUCAGUUGUGAAAGUUUGCGGCUCAACCGUAAAAUUGCAAUUGAUACUGGCAGACUUGAGUACAGUUGAGGUAGGCGGAAUUCGUGGUGUAGCGGUGAAAUGCUUAGAUAUCACGAAGAACUCCGAUGGCGAAGGCAGCUAACUAAACUGCCACUGACAUUGAGGCGCGAAAGUGUGGGUAGCAAACAGGAUUAGAUACCCCAGUAGUC